CCAAGGGUUCCAGGGUCAAGCUAAUCUGCCCUGGGUAAGUCGGGACCUAAGGCGAGGCCGACAGGCGUAGUCGAUGGACAACCAGUUGAUAUUCUGGUACCGGCGAAACAACGUCCGUGUCGAGGCUGGUGAUACUAAGCAUGCGAGCCUGUUUGGCACCUUCGGGUGUGGACAGGUGAGUCUGUGACCUGAGCUGGUAGUAGGCAAGCUGCGGAGGGACGCAGGAAGGUAGCCCAUCCCGGGCGGUGGUUGUCCCGGGCUAAGAUGGUAGGCCGACACGUAGGCAAAUCCGCGUGUCUUGUGGCUGAGAGUUGAUGGCACUGUAAAACAUGUUUUGCGGUGUGGGUGAUCCUAUGCUGCCUAGAAAAGCUUCGUGAGCGAGUUGUGAGCCGCCCGUACCCUAAACCGACACAGGUGGAUAGGUAGAGAAUACCAAGGCGAUCGAGAGAAUCGUGGUGAAGGAACUCGGCAAAAUACCCCCGUAACUUCGGGAUAAGGGGGACCUGACACGUCAUCCAAUUUACUUGGGGUAGCGUGGAGGGUCGCAGAGACCAGGCCCAAGCGACUGUUUACUAAAAACACAGGUCCGUGCGAAGUUGUAAGACGAUGUAUACGGACUGACUCCUGCCCGGUGCUGGAAGGUUAAGGGGAACUGUUAGCGCAAGCGAAGCGGUGAACUUAAGCCCCAGUAAACGGCGGUGGUAACUAUAACCAUCCUAAGGUAGCGAAAUUCCUUGUCGGGUAAGUUCCGACCUGCACGAAUGGAGUAACGAUUUGGGCGCUGUCUCCACCACGAACUCGGCGAAAUUGCAUUACGAGUAAAGAUGCUCGUUACGCGCAGCAGGACGGAAAGACCCCGGGACCUUUACUAUAGUUUGGUAUUGGUGUUCGGUACGACUUGUGUAGGAUAGGUGGGAGACUGUGAAGCCGGGACGCUAGUUCAGGUGGAGUCAUCGUUGAAAUACCACUCUGGUCGUUCUGGAUAUCUAACCUCGGACCAUGAUCUGGUUCAGGGACAGUGCCUGAUGGGUAGUUUGACUGGGGCGGUCGCCUCCCAAAAGGUAACGGAGGCGCCCAAAGGUUCCCUCAGCCUGGUUGGCAAUCAGGUGUUGAGUGUAAGUGCACAAGGGAGCUUGACUGUGAGACUGACGGGUCGAGCAGGGACGAAAGUCGGGACUAGUGAUCUGACGGUGGCGUGUGGAAGCGCCGUCACUCAACGGAUAAAAGGUACCCCGGGGAUAACAGGCUGAUCUUGCCCGAGCGUCCAUAGCGACGGCAUGGUUUGGCACCUCGAUGUCGGCUCGUCGCAUCCUGGGGCUGGAGUCGGUCCCAAGGGUUGGGCUGUUCGCCCAUUAAAGCGGCACGCGAGCUGGGUUUAGAACGUCGUGAGACAGUUCGGUCCCUAUCCGCUGCGCGCGUAAGAGUCUUGAGAAGGGCUGUCCUUAGUACGAGAGGACCGGGACGGACUAACCUCUGGUGUGCCAGUUGUACUGCCAAGUGCACGGCUGGUUGGCUACGUUGGGAAGUGAUAACCGCUGAAAGCAUCUAAGCGGGAAGCAUGCUUCAAGAUGAGGACUCUCACACUGUUAAGGUGGUAAGGCCCCCUAUAGACCAUGGGGUUGAUAGGCCAGAUGUGGAAGCCUAGUAAUGGGUGCAGCUGACUGGUACUAAUAGGCCGAGGGCUUGUCCCA
rnacentral:rRNA from 1 species